AACGAAACGAUAAUUUGUCAACAAUGAGAAUCAGAUACUUGGCUUAAUAAUUUUCAUUUAAAAUGUUUAAUUUGGAUAUAAUUCGGAAUACAAAACGAAACUUAAAAGGUAUUGAAAACAACAACGUUCAAUAGAACAAUGUGGAUUUCAAUAGAAAGACUAUUUCCACCGACAAUCAGGAUUUCCGGUAUGACCACUGUUAUUUUGACGAUUUUUCUAUCGGUUCGUCGGUAAGCGUGACCACAUGUGACAACAGCGAUGCUAGUUGGAUAUAAAAUUGGUAGACGUGUCGUUGAACUCGACACAUUGACCGAAUCGCUUUUAGCAUGCAGUGCUUGUCAAGUGCCCAUGAAUUUACUUAACACUGUAGAAAGCAGGGAUUUCGGACUGGCAUGUGUUUUGGACAUACAGUUUAGCAAUUGUGGUGCAGUAAAUAAUGUGGCUACUGGACGGAAACAUGGCAGAGUUUAUGACAUGAUCACAAAGCUUGCAUUUGGGUAAAUCAAAAACUGGGUGUUUCACCUGGGACUUUCACAUCGAAACUGGCCCUUCUCCAUGACCUUCAGCACAAAAAAAGAAAGGCUAUAACUGUUACUCGUGCAGCAAAACAGUGACGCAUAAGACUUAAAACUCGAACGGCAUUCAAAGGACAGUGCAAGAAGUACAAGCGGGACCAACAUACAGUUCAAACAUAGAGGACCAAGACGUUGAAGUUACAACUAUACCCCCACCUAUACCCAAGCCUGGUCCAGCAGGGCUAGACACUACUGGGAAGGAAUUUGUUUUCUUUGAUUUGGAAACAAGAGGGUUAGAGCACACUUCUCACAUAAUUCAGAUAGCUGCAGUGCAUUCAACUGGUCAGAAGAUUUCCUUGCAAGCGUCAGAAAUAACUGGAGUGACAGUUGUUAGCGACUCUAUGCUUGUCAAGAGACAAACAGUAACAGCUGUCCCCAUCAAAUCUGCAUUGACAAGUUUUAUAACAUUCUUACAGAAAUGUUCACCAAUUAUUUUAGUUGGGCAUAAUAUAGAGUCUUUUGAUUGUAAAGUGUUGCUCCGUGCUAUCCAUCCUUGUUGAAAAAUGUUUGAGUUUCAGCAAAAUAUUUGUGGCUUUUUAGAUACUUAAAAAUGUUAAAGGAAAUAUUACCAAAUAUGAAAUCAUAUUAGCGGGAACAUUUAGUUAAAGACGUCAUUGGUGAAUUAUACAUGGCACAUGGCGCUAUACAGGAUAUUUUAGCUUUACAAAAGUUAGUGAACUCUGUUCCUCUUGACCAAAAAUUGUUAACAAAUAUUCAUUCAGCUUUUACCGAGCAGUGUUAACAUUCAAUGUGUAACUAAAUGUUGCUUCCAACAUUAAAUCUUUACAAACCAUAAUUGAUACAAAAGUUAUAAGUCAAGGUAUUGCAAGGAAAGUUGCAGGAAGUGGAUUUCAACUUAAACAUUUGAGUCCUGUAUCAAAAAGAAACGGACUGAGUGGUUUGAGGAGCCCCCUUUCAGAGGUUACAAACGGACAAAUCAGAGUAACAAAAUCAGAGAAAAUAAUAUGUACAAUAGCGAGUUAUUUGUUGCCUGACAUCUAACCAAUUGUAAUUUGCAUCUUGUAUAUAGAUAAGUUAUGAAAUCUAAUAGCUGUUACAUCAUUGUUUUUCCUUCUCGAUGACGAACAUAGUUGUGAUUCUUAUGUCAGUUGUAUUUCUCAUGUUUCACCUAAGUUGUAAGAUAUUUUUGGCAGUGCAUUAAACCACAGAUGGUGUGUGAAACAUAAUUGCCCAGCUUAUUGUAUUCUUUGUUGUUUUAAGCUUCACUGGCCAAAGGCCAGCGGGGCUUAUGUUAUGAUUCUGUGUCCGUCGUGCGUGCGUGCCUGAACGUUUCCUUUAAACAUCUUCUCCUAAACUACUGGUCCAAUUGUGAUGAAAUUUCUCAGGAAUGUUCCUCUUUCAACGUUGUUCAAAUUAUGCCCCUGGGGUCAAAUUUGACCCUGCCCCGGGGUCACAAAAUUGAACAUAUGCUUAUAUAGGGUCUAUUUUGUGAAAACUUCACAUAUUUUUUCGUCCAUAACCAUUGGGCCUUGGGCUUCCAAAUUUGGUAUGUAGUGGCAUCUUAUAGUCCUCUACCAAGUUUGUUCAAAUUAUGCCCCUAGGGUCAAGUUUGACCCUGCCCUGACGGUCACAAAAUUGAACAUAUGCUUAUAUUAGGCAUUUUUUGUGAAAACUUUAAAAAUCUUCUUGUUCAUAUUAGUAUGGCAUAGGGCUACCAAAUUUGGUAUGUAAUGACAUGUGAUAGUUCUCUACCAAGUUUGUUCAAAUUAUGCCCCUUGGGUUAAAUUUGAAACUGCCCCGGGGGUCACAAAACUGAACAUAUGCUUAUAAAGUGCUUUAUUUGUGAAAAAAAAUUGUCCAUAUCUAUUGGGCCUAGGGCUACCAAAUUUGGUAUGUAGUGACAUCUUAUAAACCUCUACCAAAUUUGUUCAAAUAAUGCCUCUGGGGUCAACUUUGACCCUGCCGCGGGGGGUCACAAAAUUUAAUAAACGCUUAUAAAGCGCCUAUUUUGUGAAAUCUUUAAAAAUUUUGUCGAAAACCAUUCUGACUAUGGCUACCAAAUUUGGUAUGCAGGAACAUCUUAUAGUCAUCUACCAAGUUUGUUACUUUGGGUCAAAUUUGACCCUGACCCGCAGGUCACAAAAUUGAACAUUAUAUACGCUUGUAUCUUGCUUAUUUUAUGAAAACUUUAAAAAUAUUCUUGUCCUUAACUCUACAUCUAAGACUUAGGGCCACCACAUUUUGUAUGGAGUGAGAUAUAGUAGUCCUCUACAAAGUUUGCUCAAAUUAUGCCCCUGGGGUUAAAUUUGACCCAGCCCAGGUGGUCACAAAAUUGUACAUGUGCUUAAAUAGGGCCUAUAUUUAAGUAUCUGCACAUGCGGAGAAUAUUUGUUUCAGUCUUUUUUUCAGCAGUGGAGCGAUACAGGGCCAUCAUGGCCUCUUGUCUUUAAAUACACAUCACACAGUUUUAAAAAUAAUUUUAAAAUACCUAAUACAUAUGCUCAAUUUACAACCAACAACAUGGGUAACAGGUGGGUGGGGUAAUUUAAGAUGUUUAUUUGAACAUCAACAUUGUUUUUACAGUUGUUACAUCUGAAAUAUUUUCAUAACAAUAUACAUUAUAAAUAUUUCUACGUGUAUCACAUUUCAGUUGAUAAUUUGAUUGUUAUGGAGCAGUUAUUAUAUAGAUAUGUUUUAAUUACUAUUACAAUGUUAGUCAUUGUAUUUUUGAAAUUACGUCCAUAUUAAAAUGUCUAUAGCAAAAAAAAAUCCACGGUGACCUAUCAAUUUCUUUACUUCAUUUUAAUGCUUAGCUAGUUUACUUUAAUUAUUGAGAAAUUCAAAUGAAUAUGAAUAUUACAUCAACAGAAAUAUGUAUCUGUGUUGCAUGUUAUCUAUUUUGAACUGUGCAAUAAAAAAUUCAAAACAAACAAAAAACUAGUCAUACUUAUUUCUCAUUAUUUUUUACGAUUUCCAUAAUUUUUGGUUUUAAAACUGUUCACUAUGAUAAUACACAUGUUACAGUUGCUAAUAUAAUGCAAUCUCAAUACUAUUAUGCCAUUUUAAAUGUAUUACACAAAAACAUUUUACCGUACCCCCAAAU